AGGUCUUUGAGCUGAGACUGCUCUGUUUUACCUUCAUCUCAAAUAUCUCUUUUCUUCUCCUAGAUCUGAGAUCUCUCUGCCUUCCCUCUGAACCAAGCUUGCUCUGCCUUCCACUGAGCCGAGAUCGCUCUGCCUUCCUUUGGAGCCGACAUCGCUCUGCCUUGUGGAUGCCAGCUCUGUGCUUGCAGAUCCCCGGGUGGAGUCUCUCUCUUUAGGUCAGGGCCAGGGCCUUUGUGACUCCUGUGGGUCCUCACCCUUGUAAAUCCCUGUAUGCCAGCCUGCUGCCUAGGAAGAGAAGAGCAAGACCUCUCCCCCUCUGGGAUCCUUCUCCCUGCCCAGCUCAGUCUGCAGAGGACCAAGGCCUGGCCCCAGCAGGGAGCCUGGAGCCAGAGGGAAUGGCCCCUGGGAGCAGCAGCCCCCCUCCCCAGGGGUUGGUGACAUUCAAGGAUGUGGCUGUGGACUUCACCCA